rnacentral:rRNA from 1 species
UGGGGAAUAUUGGGCAAUGGGGGAAACCCUGACCCAGCAACGCCGCGUGAAGGACGAAGGCCUUCGGGUUGUAAACUUCUUUGAUCAGGGACGAAAAAAUGACGGUACCUGAAGAACAAGCCACGGCUAACUACGUGCCAGCAGCCGCGGUAAUACGUAGGUGGCGAGCGUUAUCCGGAUUUACUGGGUGUAAAGGGCGUGUAGGCGGGUUUGCAAGUCGGAUGUGAAAUUUCCGGGCUUAACCCGGGCAGGUCAUCCGAAACUGCAGAUCUUGAGUACUGGAGAGGAUAGUGGAAUUCCUAGUGUAGCGGUAAAAUGCGUAGAUAUUAGGAGGAACACCAGUGGCGAAGGCGGCUAUCUGGACAGUAACUGACGCUGAGGCGCGAAAGCGUGGGAGCAA